AAAUAAUAUAAUCCAAUCAAUCAGCUCUUAGGUUAGACGCCACUUGGUGUUUGGUGCUCGAUGGACGUUGUGAGGAUUAGUAAGUAUAACGGGAUCUUAUCGGGUGAUGCUUGAUGGUGCUUGGUCUGUUCGACGUGUAUGGAUGAUCAGACCAAAGUUGGGGUAUGUCAAAGGAUGAACUAUGUACAUGUGCGUCAGGGGGUAGAGGGACAUGUGACAGGGGAGCAGUGAAUACAGCAUCGAUAUAUAACUUCUGGCAAGCAACGAGGACUGUGUUUUAGACAUCUAUAGCAUCUACGUUCACAAAUCAUUCGUUGCUAACAGUUCUGAUUUAAAGAGACAUCAUUAAACAAGAAAAAGAGAAAUAAAAUAAAGUAAAAAAGAGCAAUAACAAUAAUAAAAAUGGAACAAAUACAAUGUACAAUUGAUCAUACACAGUUCCAUACAUACAAUAUGAUAACAAGGUGAGGACAAAAAACACUAAGAUUCUUACUUGUUUUUUCUAAGUUCCAUAGCAUUGUAUAUAUAUUUUGCUGUAGUUCGUACUUUACUUAAUUUCUUUUCAUACAUAAUGUAUUUGAAUUUCAUAAUAUUUGGCCAGUUUGAUGAAAUGUUAUAAUCUUUUCUCAGAUCUGAAUAGGCAGUACAACAUAAUAAAAAGUGUGUUCCGAUUCAACAACAUUUUGCAUACAAAGUUUACAUAUUCUGUUUGACCUUUCUAUAUUGUUAUAUCUACCAGUUUCAAUCUCAAGGGAAUGUGAUGAAAGUCUGAAACGGGUUAGUUCGUUAUGAUGUUUUUCAUUUUUUAUAUUAACUAGAUCAUUUUCAAACUCGAAAUCUUCUUUAAAUUUACAAAAGUAUUCCAUUUUAGGUUGUACUGAUAGUGCUUCGUGCCAUGACUGAAUGUAUUGGUCUUUUAGUCUUUGCGAAAACAUUGGAAGUGAAUAAUCGCUCAUAGUAAAAUCUAAAAGAAGAUUACGUAAACCAAGCUUGUGACGCAAAGUAGAUAGGGAAGAAAAUCACAAACUAUUCAAAUCACUAAUGCGAUUCUCUUGAGCAAAGUUAAUUUGUUUCAUCAAAGUUUCAUGCAUUAAAGAGUUUGGUGAGUUGAAAAUCUUUAGCCAGUACUUAAUUGAUAUUUCUUUACAAAUGGUUGUUAACGGAAAUCUUCCAAGCUCACCAAGGACAGCAGCAUUUAUGGUUUGUUCUUUUACGCCUAGAACAUAUUUACAGAAUUUGAUAUGCAGCUUGUCUAAGUCAGUAAAAUUGUAAAUUCUCCAAACUUCCGCUCCAUAUAGCAAAAUAGGGACUACAAGUGCAUCAAAAAGUGAAAGCUUUGUUUUAAUAUUUAAGGAAACUCUACUAACAAUCGACAGCAAGUGGUUGUACGCCUUCAGGGCUUGAUCAUUCAAAAAAUUUACUUUAUGAUUUAAUUUACCAUUUGACGAGAAAUUAAUGCCUAAAUAGCAAAAGUUAUCGACCACUUCAAGAAUCUCAUUGUUAAUAGUCCAACGAAAGUUACAAAUGCUUUUCCUUUUUUCGAAGAUGCAUAUUUUUGUUUAAUUUGAAUUAAUCUUUAAACCCCAUUUUCAUGAAUAUUGAUAUAGAGAAUUGAGUUGAUUUUGUAGACUGCCAGGAUCAGUGGUAAAUAAGGCAAUGUCGUCCGCAAAUAAUAACAUAAAAAGCGAUAAGAUAUCUAAAUCGUUCUGCAUUAGGUUAUUAUAUUCAAUUAUCUCUGUGACGUCAUUUAUGAACAUAACAAACAGAAGAGGGGAUAAUGGCUCUCCUUGCUUGACACCGAGUGAAAUUUCAAAAAAGUUUGAGUACGACAUAUCAGAAGAGUUUUUAAUACACGCUUUUACAUUACUAUAAAUAGAUUUGAUCAUAUUAAUCAUUUUAGAGCUUAUUCCUAAUUGUAUUAAUUUUACCCAUAAUGCAUCAUGGAUUACUGUAUCAAAAGCCUUUUCAUAGUCUACAAAUGCACAGUAUAACUUAUGUUUUUUUAAGAGUGUGAUUUGUAUGAGUGAAUGAAGUAUAAAAAUACAGUCAGCCG